GGGCCAUUUCCCGUCGUGGUGAAGGGCUCCGACUGUCGAUCGGAGAAGGAGGGUUCGACUCCCUUAUGGCUCGCCA
rnacentral:tRNA from 1 species